UCUAAUUAUUCACCAAGUAAA
rnacentral:miRNA from 1 species